UCCUACGGGGGGCAGCAGUGAGGAGUAUUGGUCAAUGGGCGCGAGCCUGAACCAGCCAAGUCGCGUGAGGGAAGACGGUCCUAUGGAUUGUAAACCUCUUUUGUCGGGGAGCAAAAGACGCCACGCGUGGCGUUCCGAGAGUACCCGAAGAAAAAGCAUCGGCUAACUACGUGCCAGCAGCCGCGGUAAUACGUAGGGGGCAAGCGUUAUCCGGAUUUACUGGGUGUAAAGGGAGCGCAGGCGGCGUGGCAAGUCAGAUGUGAAAACCCGGGGCCCAACCCCGGGAGGGCAUUUGAAACUGCCAU
rnacentral:rRNA from 1 species